rnacentral:rRNA from 1 species
UACGUAGGCAGCAAGCGUUGUUCGGAGUUACUGGGCGUAAAGGGUGUGUAGGCGGUUCUUUUAAGUUUGGUGUGAAAUCUCCCGGCUCAACUGGGAGGGUGCGCCGAAUACUGAAUGACUUGGAGUGCGGGAGAGGAAAGUGGAAUUCCUGGUGUAGCGGUGAAAAUGCGUAGAUAUCAGGAGGAACACCGGUGGUGUAGACGGCUUU